GGCGAACGCUGGCGGCGUGCUUAACACAUGCAAGUCGAACGGAAAGGCCCUGCUUUUGUGGGGUGCUCGAGUGGCGAACGGGUGAGUAACACGUGAGUAACCUGCCCUUGACUUUGGGAUAACUUCAGGAAACUGGGGCUAAUACCGGAUAGGGGCUCCUGCUGCAUGGUGGGGGUUGGAAAGUUUCGGCGGUUGGGGAUGGACUCGCGGCUUAUCAGCUUGUUGGUGGGGUAGUGGCUUACCAAGGCUUUGACGGGUAGCCGGCCUGAGAGGGUGACCGGCCACAUUGGGACUGAGAUACGGCCCAGACUCCUACGGGAGGCAGCAGUGGGGAAUAUUGCACAAUGGGCGGAAGCCUGAUGCAGCAACGCCGCGUGCGGGAUGACGGCCUUCGGGUUGUAAACCGCUUUCGCCUGUGACGAAGCGUGAGUGACGGUAAUGGGUAAAGAAGCACCGGCUAACUACGUG
rnacentral:rRNA from 1 species